rnacentral:rRNA from 1 species
GAAAUGCGAUAAGUAAUGUGAAUUGCAGAAUUCAGUGAAUCAUCGAAUCUUUGAACGCACCUUGCGCUCCUUGGUAUUCCUUGGAGCAUGCCUGUUUGAGUAUCAUGAAAUUAUCAAAGCAAGUCUUUUGUUAACUCGAUCGACUUUGAUUUGGACUUGGAGGUCUGCAGAUUCACGUCUGCUCCUCUUAAAUGCAUUAGCUGGAUCUCGGUGAGCUCGGUUCCACUCGGCGUGAUAAGUAUCGCUCGCUGAGGACACCCGUAAAAAAGGUGGCCGGGGUUGCAGAUGAACCGCUUCCAAUGGUCUAUUAAAUUAGACAAAUACUCUAUGAUCUGAUCUCAAAUCAGGUAGGACUACCCGCUGAACUUAAGCAUAUCAAUAAGCGGAGGAAAAGAAACUAACAAGGAUUCCCCUAGUAACCUGAAAACUGCCAAAGGCACACAGGGGAUA